GUUUCUAUAGUUGAAUAACAACGAUGAUUUUUCAUGUCAUUGGUCAUAGUUUGAGUCUAUGUAGGAAUU
rnacentral:tRNA from 2 species